UACGGGGGGGGCAAGCGUUGUCCGGAAUUACUGGGCGUAAAGGGCUCGUAGGCGGCCAACUAAGUCGGAUGUGAAAUCCCCAGGCUCAACCUGGGAACUGCAUCCGAUACUGGAUGGCUUGAAUUCGGGAGAGGGAUGCAGAAUUCCAGGUGUAGCGGUGAAAUGCGUAGAUAUCUGGAGGAACACCGGUGGCGAAGGCGGCAUCCUGGACCGACAUUGACACUGAGGAGCGAAAGCCAGGGGAGCAAACGGG
rnacentral:rRNA from 1 species